AUGAUGAGGCUACUCCCGUGCUUCUGCGUCUGCUUGGUCGUCGUCCUCCUCGUCGGCUCCUCCCCGGCGGAUCUCCUGGCCGGGCGCUGCCCGCUGCACCACCGUAGGCAGCUCGAGGACGUCGACAGCGGUGGCGGCCUGCAGGCAACGGCGGUGGCGAGCACCACGGCUGCUGUGCGGCCACAGCAAGAGAUCACCGAUCUGGUCGUCUAUGGGACCUCCAAGAGGCUCAGUCCUGGAGGAUCCAACCCUCAGCACCACCACUGA
rnacentral:rRNA from 1 species